rnacentral:rRNA from 1 species
UUGAACGCUGGCGGCAUGCCUUACACAUGCAAGUCGAACGGCAGCACGGGGGCGACCCUGGUGGCGAGUGGCGAACGGGUGAGUAACGCAUCGGAACGUACCCGGAAGUGGGGGAUAACGUAGCGAAAGUUACGCUAAUACCGCAUAUUCUGUGAGCAGGAAAGAGGGGGAUCGCAAGACCUCUCGCUUCCGGAGCGGCCGAUGUCGGAUUAGCUAGUUGGCGGGGUAAAGGCCCACCAAGGCGACGAUCCGUAGCGGGUCUGAGAGGAUGAUCCGCCACACUGGGACUGAGACACGGCCCAGACUCCUACGGGAGGCAGCAGUGGGGAAUUUUGGACAAUGGGCGCAAGCCUGAUCCAGCCAUGCCGCGUGCGGGACGAAGGCCUUCGGGUUGUAAACCGCUUUCAGCCGGAAAGAAAUCGUCAAGGCUAAUAUCCUUGAUGGAUGACGGUACCGGAAGAAGAAGCACCGGCUAACUACGU